rnacentral:lncRNA from 14 species
AGUUCAGGUCAUGCCUUGACCCCCUCUCCAGCUGUGACUCAGGGCAGUGCCACUCAGCAAGCCCUACUGUGGGUGCUGAACUGGAGGGACGCCAUUAAAUAGAACUGGCUGGGCUUGGACCGACGCCAGGCCGCCCCACAUUCUCCUCUGGAGGGGUCAGGAGCCAGGUUCAGUUGCCAGCUUCAGGCUUUGGUGACUUAGAGUCUGGAGGCCAGGGCAGGGCAGGUCCCCCAAGUGGCUGAGGGCACGGGAUCAAAGGCCGCAGAAUGGCCCUGGAGAGAGUUAAGCUGGGACCGGGCCCAAGUCACCUUCUGGCCAGGAUCCCCCACAGGCUCUGGCCACAGCCUUGUGGCAGCAGACCGAUCACGUGAAACUGCCUACAGCCGUUCCUCCGGGCUCUCUGGUUUGGGUUACUUGUCUGUUUUCUUUCUCCUGUAGGCCAGGUGGCUUCCAACUCACAGACAUCUGCUCACCUGUGCUGAGAUUAAAGGUGUGGCACCA